rnacentral:lncRNA from 1 species
GGACAAGUGGCUCUGGACAGAGCAGUGGCAAUUUAAUGAGUAGAAAUCCUCCAUGUUCUAUUUUUAGGAAAACAGGAGGAAAUGCCUGGUCUGAAACUCUUCGGUAUCAAAACAAAAUUUCUCUAUUCAAAAGUUGAAGAAAAGGACACUUUAAAAUAGCCUGCCAACCCAGAGGGAGAGCUUCACAUCAGACCUCCCAACAUACUGUAGCUGGAAGUCAGUAAGGAUUCC